CAUCAACCUCCAGCUUCUUGUACUGUUCGACCAAGGAUUUAGUUCGCUCAAUUCCCUGAGAGGCGUUGCGCUUUUUAGCGGCCAUCCUCGCCCUGCAAUCGUCCAUUUUGGCUUGAAGCUCCCUCAUCUGAGCAGCCAAAUUAACCAUCAGGGAGUCUUCAAUCAUGACUUCGGAAGAGAUUUCUUUCAACUCGUCCUUAGCCUUGUUGAUCUCCAAGCGCAGAGACUCUUUUUCAGCUACGGCUCGAAGAUAUUGAGUACGCUUGGCCUUUAGUUCAGCGUUCUUGGCCAGCAUAGUAAGGACCUCGGAGUGAAUGACCUUCAACGUCGCUUUAAACUCGGCAGAAAGAUUGAGCGACGGGAGCGUCAGUGCUUGCUCUAACUUCGCACUCAAGCGCUCAAGUUCAUCCUUGUGUCUGGCAGCACUAGCCCUUCCAAUGUCCAUGUCCAUGAAAGACACGUACUCAAAUACCAACUCCUUCAAGAACUUCAAGUCUUCUUCUGAAGAAGCAGCAGGACGAUCAGAUGGAACAGGGCGAGGCAUUUGGACCUGCCCCCAGGAAGCGAACAAAUCCUGGAUAGAACGCACAAUCCUGUCAACAUCCUGCAAAGAAGAUUGCCAACAUUAGAAAUAUUCG
rnacentral:lncRNA from 1 species